ACAUCAGUGGCAACGUUUUUUGAAGUUGUCGCUAAAAUUAUGUUGCAGCGACCAAAUCGCCUCUUAGUUCUUUACUUUAAAAUUGAAAACUAAAUAAAAAUUAAACACCCUUCGUAGUCUUCCUUUUGCUUUUUUACCAAAUCCAUUCUCCUCUUUCCCUCGAAACCCAAAUUGAGCCGUGAAACUUGCCCAUGUGAAAGUAGAAACGAAAGCAAGCAACUCCUUUCUCCUGAAAUUCUCAUUGUGGGACGCGAACCGGUGAAAUAAGAAAUGGAAGCAAACGAUUUGGCUUAAGAAAAAUCAAUUUGGUGUCUGAGCAUCGCAAAGCGGCCUUGUGUUGUUUCCUCUCCUUUCCUCUGAGAUUCUAUAGGUUGGUAAUGAAGAACAAAUUCAUGUUACUAUGCGCAUGUAGAAGAUAACCGAACUUUGUUGCGAGAUAUUAUUGGCUGCUUGACAAGUAUGAACCAUUUUAGAACAUAUAACACCUCCAUUAUUAUGGAACUCAAGAGGUUUGUUUCAUUUCUUAGUUUUCUAUUUAUGUUAUUGAGCGUAUUCUUAUUUUUCUAAUUUGACCUAUUUUUGAAGAUAAUUGUUAUGCUUGAGUGCACAUAUAUAUUUUUGUAAUACUUUGUUAGAAAGUGUGGCUUUCAAACAGUAGUUGGCUAAUUUCCACAUAUUUGAAGUGUCUUGAUUAGUCGGACCCCUACAUGCCACAACAAUCAUACUUAAUAAAUUUGGUCUUGUCCAGAUAGUUUGACAAACUUAUUAAGCCUACAUAUUUGAAGUCUCUUGUUGAAUCUCAAAGGAAAAUUGUUCCUAAUGCUUGUAAAAUCUAAAUUGAAACUUAAAAUGAAGAGUAAGGAAGAAUAAAAGGUAUGGAUCUACUCCUAACCAAUCUUCAGUUACCUAGGCGUUAUGAAUUUUUUUUAUCAAUUCAUUCAUAUUAUCGAAAACAUUCUUUAUUAGCUAGGUUGUUUUAGGAGAAUGUGGUACUAGGAGUCCUAUAGUCCUUGAAGGCUUGAACAUAUAGCUAUGCACUGCAAAAUGUAGUUGCUUUAUUAACACUUACAGAAAAAUGCUAUAAUAAUUUUAAUGUAAAAGAUAAAUUUUCUUCUGUUGUGUUUCUAAUAAAAUUUAUUUCAUUGGCAAUUAAUUGUUUUUAUUAGCUUCAUUGUUGACAAUUUAUUCAUGAAGGAGCUUUACUGUGGUCAUUAUGAAAGGAAAUUGGCAGAAAAGGCAUUUAGUUUUUUGUGAUAGAUAUUUAUAAUGACAAGCUAUUCAAUUUGAUUUUUUCAGGUAUGUGGAUUUUAGAUAGUAAUAUACCUGACUUGAACGACCUUGGGAUUUUCAUUUGGCAUAUAUCUAACUUGAAUUGAACUUUUUUUUCCUUCAUAGAAACUUUUGGUAAAGUAAUUAUGCACUGUGCUUCCAAACAUUAUCAUGGUGACUGCAGAGAUAUUUUCGAGGCUCGGGAUUCUGAGUUCACGGCUUGGGAUUGUAUGAAGAGUCUUUAGACUUCAAGAGAAAAUGAUGCUAGCGAAGCCAGAACUUGAAGACAUCUUAUUUUGCUUUAUUUUUUGUUGUUGUUUUCAUGUGUAUGCACAAUUACUACAUGUUAUGAAUUUUUGUUAAACA